GGCUGCAGCUUAUUGGUAGAGCAUCUGCCUUGUACACAGAAGGUCCCAGGUUCAAUUCCAGCAUGUAUAGUUA
rnacentral:tRNA from 1 species